CAGUCGCCACGGUAAUACGUAGGGUGCAAGCGUUGUCCGGAAUUAUUGGGCGUAAAGAGCUCGUAGGCGGUUUGUCGCGUCUGCUGUGAAAUCCCGAGGCUCAACCUCGGGCUUGCAGUGGGUACGGGCAGACUAGAGUGCGGUAGGGGAGAUUGGAAUUCCUGGUGUAGCGGUGGAAUGCGCAGAUAUCAGGAGGAACACCGAUGGCGAAGGCAGAUCUCUGGGCCGUAACUGACGCUGAGGAGCGAAAGCGUGGGGAGCGAACAGGAUUAGAUACCCCCGUAGUCCCUGUCUCUUAUAC
rnacentral:rRNA from 1 species